rnacentral:rRNA from 1 species
CCUACGGGAGGCAGCAGUGGGGAAUCUUGCGCAAUGGGCGAAAGCCUGACGCAGCAACGCCGCGUGGGGGAUGAAGGCUCUCGGGUUGUAAACCCCUUUCAGCAGGGACGAAUCAAGACGGUACCUGCAGAAGAAGCCCCGGCUAACUACGUGCCAGCAGCCGCGGUAACACGUAGGGGGCAAGCGUUGUCCGGAUUUAUUGGGCGUAAAGAGCUCGUAGGCGGCUGAGUAAGUCGGGUGUUAAAUCCCCAGGCUCAACCUGGGACACCACCCGAUACUGCUCUGGCUAGAGUCCGGUAGGGGAGCGUGGAAUUCCUGGUGUAGCGGUGAAAUGCGCAGAUAUCAGGAGGAACACCAGCGGCGAAGGCGGCGCUCUGGGCCGGAACUGACGCUGAGGAGCGAAAGCGUGGGUAGCAAACAGGAUUAGAUACCCUGGUAGUCCACGCCGUAAACGUUGGGCACUAGGUGUGGGGUCUAUUCAACGGACUCCGUGCCGUCGCUAACGCAUUAAGUGCCCCGCCUGGGGAGUACGGCCGCAAGGCUAAAACUCAAAGGAAUUGACGG